CACAUGCAGUCGACGGUAGCACAGAGGAGCUUGCUCCUUGGGUGACGAGUGGCGGACGGGUGAGUAAUGUCUGGGAAACUGCCCGAUGGAGGGGGAUAACUACUGGAAACGGUAGCUAAUACCGCAUAACGUCGCAAGACCAAAGAGGGGGACCUUCGGGCCUCUUGCCAUCGGAUGUGCCCAGAUGGGAUUAGCUAGUAGGUGGGGUAACGGCUCACCUAGGCGACGAUCCCUAGCUGGUCUGAGAGGAUGACCAGCCACACUGGAACUGAGACACGGUCCAGACUCCUACGGGAGGCAGCAGUGGGGAAUAUUGCACAAUGGGCGCAAGCCUGAUGCAGCCAUGCCGCGUGUAUGAAGAAGGCCUUCGGGUUGUAAAGUACUUUCAGCGAGGAGGAAGGUGUUGUGGUUAAUAACCGCAGCAAUUGACGUUACUCGCAGAAGAAGCACCGGCUAACUCCGUGCCAGCAGCCGCGGUAAUACAGAGGGUGCAAGCGUUAAUCGGAAUUACUGGGCGUAAAGCGCACGCAGGCGGUCUGUCAAGUCGGAUGUGAAAUCCCCGGGCUCAACCUGGGAACUGCAUCCGAAACUGGCAGGCUAGAGUCUUGUAGAGGGGGGUAGAAUUCCAGGUGUAGCGGUGAAAUGCGUAGAGAUCUGGAGGAAUACCGGUGGCGAAAGCGGCCCCCUGGACAAAGACUGACGCUCACGUGCGAAAGCGUGGGGAGCAAACAGGAUUAGAUACCCUGGUAGUCCACGCCGUAAACGAUGUCGACUUGGAGGUUGUG
rnacentral:rRNA from 1 species